UACGAAGGGGGCUAGCGUUGCUCGGAAUUACUGGGCGUAAAGCGCACGUAGGUGGCGAUUCAAGUUAGAUGUGAAAGGCCCGGGCUCAACCCGGGAACUGCAUUUGAUACUGAAUUGCUAGAGUCCAAGAGAGGGUAGUGGAAUUCCCAGUGUAGAGGUGAAAUUCGUAGAUAUUGGGAAGAACACCAGUGGCGAAGGCGGCUCACUGGACCGGUAUUGACGCUGAGGUGCGAAAGCGUGGGGAGCAAACAGG
rnacentral:rRNA from 1 species